rnacentral:rRNA from 1 species
GUUGAACGCUGGCGGCAGGCCUAACACAUGCAAGUCGAGCGGAUGAAGGGAGCUUGCUCCUGGAUUCAGCGGCGGACGGGUGAGUAAUGCCUAGGAAUCUGCCUGGUAGUGGGGGAUAACGUCCGGAAACGGGCGCUAAUACCGCAUACGUCCUGAGGGAGAAAGUGGGGGAUCUUCGGACCUCACGCUAUCAGAUGAGCCUAGGUCGGAUUAGCUAGUUGGUGGGGUAAAGGCCUACCAAGGCGACGAUCCGUAACUGGUCUGAGAGGAUGAUCAGUCACACUGGAACUGAGACACGGUCCAGACUCCUACGGGAGGCAGCAGUGGGGAAUAUUGGACAAUGGGCGAAAGCGUGAUCCAGCCAUGCCGCGUGUGUGAAGAAGGUCUUCGGAUUGUAAAGCACUUUAAGUUGGGAGGAAGGGCAGUAAGUUAAUACCUUGCUGUUUUGACGUUACCAACAGAAUAAGCACCGGCUAACUUCGU